AUACGGAGGGUGCAAGCGUUGUUCGGAAUCACUGGGCGUAAAGGGCGCGUAGGCGGUUUGAUAAGUCAGAUGUGAAAGCCCACGGCUUAACUGUGGAAGUGCAUUUGAAACUGUCAGACUUGAGUACCAGAGGGGAAAGUGGAAUUCCCGGUGUAGAGGUGAAAUUCGUAGAUAUCGGGAGGAAUACCGGUGGCGAAGGCGACUUUCUGGCUGGAUACUGACGCUGAGGCGCGAAAGCGUGGGGAGCAAACAGGAUUAGAUACCCUGGUAGUCCACGCCGUAAACGAUGUCAACUAGAUGUAGGGGGUGUUGAUCCCCUCUGUGUCGCAGCUAACGCAUUAAGUUGACCGCCUGGGGAGUACGGUCGCAAGAUUAAA
rnacentral:rRNA from 1 species